rnacentral:rRNA from 1 species
UACGUAGGGUGCAAGCGUUGUUCGGAAUUACUGGGCGUAAAGCGCGUGUAGGCGGUUCGUAAAGUCGGAUGUGAAAGCCCUGGGCUUAACCCAGGAAGUGCAUUCGAAACUCACGAACUUGAGUCCCGGAGAGGAAGGCGGAAUUCUCGGUGUAGAGGUGAAAUUCGUAGAUAUCGAGAGGAACAUCGGUGGCGAAGGCGGCCUUCUGGACGGUGACUGACGCUGAGACGCGAAAGCGUGGGGAGCAAACAGG